CUAAGAUUGCAAUUUCCCCCCUCAGGAUAAUGACUAUCCGAAUCACAGGGAAAUUGCUUGAUUUAAACGAAGUUCGAACGAAACCCCUCUCGAAUCUCGGGGCGCUUCAUUUCUUCUGAAAUUCGCGAUGAAAUUCCUACGAACGUACAGGUGAUCGCACAAUCGUCCUGUAUCACGGGAGAACCUCAGCUGUCAACCGUUUUUUGUCUCGCUUUUUAUAAAUAGUUUUUCUUUUUCGCCUUUGGCGGAAAGAAACGUAAAGUUUCCAUUUGUGACGACAAAGCCCAAAGCAAACAUCAAGGAAAUCAGCGGCGAAAUGUUGCUCUUACGGCCAUUUAGGACACUUCCUCCAGACGAGCCAUCCAUCAGCCAAGGAAAAACAGUGAAAAAAAUGCGGCCAGGAUUCAGCGGAAACAUCGGUGAUGCUGGUAGCCAGGCGGGAGGAACCUCUACGCCAAGGGAUCUACCGGCCGUUGAAAUUGGCCGUCGCAACAUACUUUGUUGCACACCAAGUUUCAGGCAAUAUACCGGAAGAAUACAAACAGAAUGCAGCAGCCAUUUGAUAUUAUUAAAAAAAAUUCAUCAAUAAAAGUUCAUUCAAUUUUAA